rfam:Lachancea thermotolerans CBS 6340 chromosome G complete sequence.
GGUUGUUUGGCCGAGCGGUCUAAGGCGCCUGAUUCAAGAUAACUCAUCUUGACACUGAUAACAGUGGAACACUCAGGUAUCGUAAGAUGCAAGAGUUCGAAUCUCUUAGCAACCA